AUGUGUUAUUCUGUUCAUAAAUGUGUUAUUCUGUUUGUAAAUGAGUAUUCUGUUCAUAAAUGUGUUAUUCUGUUUGUAAAUGUGUAUUCUGUUAAUAAAUGUGUUAUUCUGUUUGUUGUAGGUCAACUGGAGAGGCAGCACCCUAACCUUAAUCUGGAGAGGCUGCACCCUAACCCUGGAGAGGCAGCACCCUAACCUUAAUCUGGAGAGGCUGCACCCUAACCCUGGAGAGGCUGCACCCUAACCCUGGAGAGGCUGCACCCUAACCCUGGAGAGGCCGCACCAUGGUGCAGAAGUACCAGUCCCCCGUCAGGGUCUAUAAGCACCCCUUCGAGUUGAUCAUGGCGGUGAGUACCAGGUCAGGGUCUAUAAGCACCCCUUCGAGUUGAUCAUGGCGGUGAGUACCAGUCCCCCGUCAGGGUCUAUAAGCACCCCUUCGAGUUGAUCAUGGCGGUGAGUACCAGGUCAGGGUCUAUAAGCACCCCUUCGAGUUGAUCAUGGCGGUGAGUACCAGGUCAGGGUCUAUAAGCACCCCUUCGAGUUGAUCAUGGCGGUGAGUACCAGGUCAGGGUCUAUAAGCACCCCUUCGAGUUGAUCAUGGCGGUGAGUACCAGGUCAGGGUCUAUAAGCACCCCUUCGAGUUGAUCAUGGCGGUGAGUACCAGGUCAGGGUCUAUAAGCACCCCUUCGAGUUGAUCAUGGCGGUGAGCAUGUUUGUGUGCACUGGAUACAAUGGCCUUCUGCCCAUAGAUUACAUCCAUAUGGAGUCUAUAUACACCUGAUUACAUUCAUCUAUAUACACCUGAUUAUAUUCAUAUGGACUCACUCUAUAUCCACCUGAUUAUAUUUAUAUUCAUAUUUAACUGACAGUUAUAGAUUGGUCUUGGUGUGGCGUAUGCUGUCGAACAACAGUAGUUCCCCACAGGCUGCAUACACGGGCUAAACUGUGCACUGAUCCAAAGAGAGGUGGAUAGGAGUCUACACACACACACACACACACACACACACACACACACACACACACACUGAUCCAAAGAGAGGUGGAUAGGAGUGAUGGAAAUUGAUAUUACCAUUCAUUUAUAUACUUACCAUCGCAUUGAAAGUAUGUUCUCCUGUGUGUGUGUGUGUGUGUGUGUGUGUGUGUGUGUGUGUGUGUGUGGUGUGU
rnacentral:lncRNA from 1 species